rnacentral:lncRNA from 1 species
ACACAAUCACAAUACCCAAAAUUAAAAUUUUUGGGCGUUACAUCAAGUCCUUGAAUAUUUUAGGUCAUCACAUUUUAAUCUAGUGCUACCAAUAUGUCAGGCAACACUAGCAGAGCAUUGUACCAAAUGCCUUAUUUUUGUAAUUAAUUUAUUUUCCAUACCAUUUUCAUAACUAAUUGUUUUUUAUAUGAUUUGGGUAAAAAAAUCCCUAUGUUGAAUAAUAUACAUUUUUUU